UACAGUAUUUUGAAGCCGCGGGAAGAGAAAGGGGGGUGAGGCAAGCAGGAAUUACAGUCCGGCGGCGCAGGGGAGACUAAUAUAGGCGUGCAGGGCUGAGCUUGAGAUCCAACGUUCCCUCAUUAAAACAACGUCCCCCACUUAAAUGAUCCCCCAGUGACUUCACAUGGCACAAAAAGCUGUUGGGUUUAGCCUUGGUAUGCCUGAUAGCAAGCGUCUGUAUUAAAUUUCCCUUGACCUCUCUGUGUGAGGAGACUCCUGCAGAAGGACACGCUGGGAUGUGGUAAUUCGAACAUGGGCUACACCCGCUGCCAACUGUUGUGUCUGACUGACUCAUCCGCUGAGAGAUUGUUCUGCCGUGAUGCGAGUCUAGGUCGCAGACACUUCUCUCCAGUUGGCCCUCCCUACUAAUAAAGCCUGUUUCCAUCUA